CAAUAGCGUAUAUUAAAGUUGUUGCGGUUAAAAAGCUCGUAGUUGGAUUUCUGUCGAGGGCGGGCGGGUCCGCACUAUGUGCGUGUAUCUUGUUCGGUCUUGGCAUCCUCUUGGGGAAUGGCAUUCUGUGCUUGAUUGCAUGGGGUGGAAUUCAAGACUUUUACUUUGAGGAAAUUAGAGUGUUCACGGCAAGCUACCGCUUUGAAUACAUUAGCAUGGAAUAAUAAUAUAGGGCGUAAGUUCUAUUUUGUUGGUUUCUAGGACAUACGCAAUGAUUAAUAGGGACAAUUGGGGCGGAUUCGUAUUAACGCGUCAGAGGUGGAAUUCUUAGAUUGCGUUACGACGAACUACUGCGAAAGCAUUUGCCAAAGAUGUUUUCAUUGAUCAAGAACGAAAGUUAGGGGAGUCGAGAUGAUCAGAU
rnacentral:rRNA from 1 species